AUUGAACGCUGGCGGCAGGCCUAACACAUGCAAGUAGAGCGGAGCGGCGGACGGGGGAGUAAUGCCUAGGAAUCUGACUGGUAGUGGGGGAUAACAUCCGGAAACGGGCGCUAAUACAGCAUACUAGCAGAUAAGCCUAGGUAGGAUUAGCUAGUUGGUGGGGUAAAGGCCUACAAAGGCGACGAUCCGUAACUGGUCUGAGAGGAGGAUCAGUCACACUGGAACUGGGACACGAUCCAGACUCCUACGGUAGGCAGCAGUGGGGAAUAUUGGACAAUGGGCGAAAGCCGGAUCCAGCCAUGCCGCGUGGGUGAAGAAGGUCUUCGGAUUUUAAAGCACUUUAAGUUUGGAGGCGUUACCAACAGAAUAAGCACCGGCUAACUUCGUGCCAGCAGCCGCGGUAAUUC
rnacentral:rRNA from 1 species